rnacentral:lncRNA from 1 species
AGACACCAUCCCAGGGGGCACCUUGACCCCUUCUGAUUGCUUCAUGUGCCACCCCCCCGGUUGCUAACAGAACAAAGCUAAAAAAAAUUACUUGCGUAUUUGUUGAACUAAUUAUCUUGUGCAUGUUUCAGCACUCCAAUCAACCCACAGCAUCACUUAUUUGAAGAGCCUUGCAUCUUGAAAUGCUUGAUCUCCUGUGAUGGUACGACUGCUGUCAUCAUGCAGCGCAGAGAGGUUUUGAGAUCACACAGAGAGCGCAGAUCUGGUCACUGAAGACAACUGGCAAUGAAAUGGGUGUGCGAAAGAAGAGGAA